rnacentral:miRNA from 1 species
UACCCUGUAGAUAUCCGAAUUUGU